rnacentral:tRNA from 1 species
GGGCUGGGGAUGUAGCUCAGUGGUAGAGCACUUGCCUUGCAGCGGGGGGAUCCUAGGUUCAAUCCCUGGCAC